GCUGCUGGAAUUGUGCAUUUUUAAAACAACAAGCAUUAUGAUUACUUAGAUGUUUCGAUACCUGUAUCAUAAAAAAUGAACUUACUUUAUUUUGCUUUAUUUUGUAGAUUUUUCUGAAAAUGAAGUUGAGAACUAAGCUCAUGGUACUGGCUGCAGGUCAUUAUCUUAAGGAUUAAAAUUUGGAAGCCCAUUUAGAAUGUCUUGGCCAGAGAAGGGUGGUAGGAAACCUGAAGUGUCAUUACUAAAUCUGAGGCAUCUGCAGGAGACCCCUGAUGCUACUGGUGCCACGGUUUUUGGGAGCGCUUACCGUUGACCUGCAUUCUGUCCACCAUGAAGCAGAAGGUGCUGGACAUGAGAGAGGGUGGUAAGUGAGAUCAAAGUACCCACACAGCUGCUUGGCGAGAAGCAAGAAGCCCCAGCAGGGUGGGGUAAGUGGAGUAGAGAGGUGAGGGCGAGGU
rnacentral:lncRNA from 1 species